ACUUUUUGACCUUUGUUGGUCCUUCCCGUAUUCUCCCUUAUUAGCGAUGUCGCUCAUUGGAUCUUUCUUCCUUUGUUUCUGAGUGACGAUCGUUUUGGUGGUCCGUGGAGGAUGGUGCGGCCUUCUUCUUCUUCAACUUUGGUUUUCUGGAUGGUGAUGGAGGCUGGUUCUGGAUGGUGAUGGAGGCGGGCUUCUCUAUGCUUCGUUCUGAGGUGUGUCAGCGGUGGAGAGAGGUUUUACAGUAGCUUUAGAAACUUGUGUUUGGUUGCCACCAAUAGCCUUCACUGGACUAGACUGGACUAAAAUUUAGAGCAAUACCUUGUUUGUUACGCAGCAGGACAACCUUUAGUGGGACUAGCCGGACGUCGCUAGACAGUCUUAGCGAGUCCCAUCGAAAAAGCAUCGGAUUGCUAAGACCUUCGCUGCUUCACUUCAUCUGCUUCUCUUCGUCCGCUUAUCUCCCUUGCUCUAUCUAUCUGCUUCAUCUGCUUCUCUCUCCCUUGCCCUAUCUAUCUACUUCUCUCUCUCCCUCCAUUCAUCAAGCAGGUCGAGAUCGGCGUCCCUCUCAAUUGCUUCUCGGAAGCCAGAGCCGUCGAGCACGUUCGAGUCUUGGCCCAAGAGAUCGACGACCGCCAGGAGGGGCGUCCUGGCUUGACGGAGGUUGCUCAAUACAUUACAGGGCAAUUGGAAAUGAUAAAGUUGAUCUUCCAUUGAUUCAUUACUUGGUGUAUUCUGUAUUUUGAUUGCAUGUGUUUGUUUUUGCUUUGGGUUUUGUCCGUUCGGUUUAUUGUGUUGUUUUUGCUUCAAAUAUUGAUGGAUUUCUGACCGAUAUUGUUAUAUGUGGGUCUUUUUACACCCGGUCUUGGUUGUAUGCUUGUGAUAAUAUGCAUUUGUGUGCUGCUUUAUGGAUUUUCUGGUUUUUUGUUAUGGUGAAACUCGAAUCACAUGAAUGUAGCUGUUGUUAUUGUUUAAAUUGAUGGUCUGGUGCGGAAAAUCCUUCGAGAUUGUUAAUUCAUGACUGUAAUAUUGGCCAUUGUCGGUGUCAGUGAAUUGGGAAUGCCAUUUAUCAAUUAUACACAUCAGAAUACAACAGUUGACUUCAGCGGGGAGGUGGUUAGUCUUACUUUGCAUGUUUGUGAAUUCUAUGACAUAAUUCCCUUUAGUUCUUCAUGAAUGCUAGCCAAUGACAGAAACUUGUUACUGGGAAUUUGUUGUUCCUAUUCUCGUGGCCACUCAAGAAUGAUUUCUUAUAUGGUGGCUUAUGUAAAACAUGUGUUAGCUUUAGUGGGAGAAUGUAAGCUUAAUUAGAGCUUAUCGCUUGUUUUACACGUGCUUAAGGGAUUGAAGUCAUAAGAGUUUGGGAUGAACUAUACUUGUAAAGCUAUCAGGGAAUGUAUUUGGAUUGAUACACAGCUAUAAGUAGUCUCGGUUUUCAAUAAGUUAACUAUUCUGAUAUGAUAACUUUGGUUUGCGGUGAUAAGGAUAUUUGUUUAUAUGAUUGUAUUAGGAUUACAUGAUGGGAAGUAACCUAAUCAAAUACCACCACUGAGGAUAUAUAAUAGGGGUCCUGCAUUCACACUAAUUACGCAAAAGAACAAGCCCCAUUAUUUGUUAAUUGCAUACAGUAGUGUCGAGGGUAGAAGAGCUCUAUUUUCUUAAGCUGCAAUGGUUUCGCAAGGUUAGUGGGUAAUUGUAUUUGUGUUCAUGUUUGUUUCCGCAAUAAUAAUCUUACACUUGAUGCAUUAGUUUAACUUUAGGUUCAUAAAUGCCAAUGCAUUGUUCUUGUGAGCCCAGAAGUUUCAGAUGUCAGCAGCAAGCUUGGUUCUUUUUUUCAUGGGUUUACAUAUUCUGGACACUCCGUAGACUGCGCUGUUGCAAUUCAAGCACUCAAGACGUAGACAAGUGGUUGAAGGGCACUGAAGAAUAUGUGAAGGAACUCAAGUUUAAGCACUAAGUAGUUGCAAUUUGUAAAUGUAUUGGUGGCUGACAAUGAUGAAAAAAUAUGUAGACUUUCAUGUAAAGCAAAUGAAUGGUAUUCUGAAUGAAGCAUCUUCUCUCUUGAAAAAAGUUUUUGACAAGAAAGUGGAAGUUUUCAUAAUUAAAAAAGUUUAGUCUGGGCCAGUCCGGUACUGCACCAAACGUUUCACAA